ensembl:lncRNA
UAAAUACCAAACCUCUAGGUUCUCCCCAGAUUCUAACCCCAAAGAGAAACAAGGUGUCCCUGGAGAAAUGGAAGGAUGUGGAAAGAGAAAGAGGAGAAGAGAGGAAAUUGCAGAGAGAGUGAUGAAUGGCCAGUCUGCAUUGCUGAACUAGUUAUUACUGAGUUGUUUGCCAUUUGGCCCCAUGUAUUUUUAAAGCAUAUAGUUAAGGAGCAUUUAUUAAAAUGUUUUCAAGUUGUCCUUCUAAAGAAGAGACCCUGACAGGCCACUCAGUAUAUUGCAAAGGAAGAAACAACACCUCUGCCAGUAACUCAAAGCGGGAGAAGACUCAGCACCUCUGAUGAUUCACAGCCGGGGAGGGAGGCCCAGAUACCUGAGGUCUCUGUGAGGGUGGGACUCUGGUCAGUAGCCAGACUCAGACAGCAAAUGCCAACGCAGGUGCCAGGCUGUGUGGGGAAACUGCAAAAGGCGAGAAGAGGGGACUGCUGCAUCUCUGUGUCUCUAUGUACUUGCAGCCAUCGACUGCCAUCUCAUAACUUGAAAUGUGAAUCCCAGUGCUUCCACAGAGCUGAUAUCUUUCUCUCACCAGGCUUAAAGAUGCAGAAAGCCUCGAAGGAGAAGUCAAGUCAGUGAAGGUUAAGGAAUAGGGUUUUCUGAACUGAUUUUAUCUUAAACUUUGGAAUUUUCAGGAUCAGCUCAGAAAGAACUGAAGAUCAAAACUUUAUUUAUCCAUUGAUUAAGUAUUUAUUACUCAUUGACAGUAUGCCAGCUCUUGUUCUCUGUGAUUUCAGAUCAGUUCUUUUGGCAAUGAACGCUAUCAAUGAACCCUGAAGCUAGUAGGGACCAUCAACUCUAACCAUCUCAUUUUCCAGAUGAGAAAACUGAGACCUCGUGAGGUUCUCCUCCCUGAGAUAUGAGUAAUUUAUUGACAAAGCUAGAGCAUAAAUACAAGUAUUCCCACCAUGACUACUAAUUCUCAGACCAGAUGCUUCAAAACCGGACUUGGAUAGUCUCUGCCUGAGAAGGGGAGACGCGAUAUUCAAUUUGCCAAUAUUCACAACCUUGGAGGAAGUGAUAUUCAUCCUAAGCCAAAACAUAUUGGUAAAUUCUCUAAUUUAGUCAGAUGAUGUCUCACUUUACAUGAUAAAUGUUUCUAAAAAGUUGCAUGCAAAUCAAAUUUUUGUAAAUUGAAUUACUUCUUUAAAAGCAC